rnacentral:snoRNA from 1 species
ACCCUUUUGUGGUUCAUCAGUGUGGUGGUUCAGUUUUCACACUCAUGUGUGAGACGUGCCUCCCUCCAACCUUGUUAAUAGCACAAGCACAUUACCCAUCUGACA